GAAAAACACUCUAAAUCCUGAGUUAUGAGUACUUUAGUAGAUGCGCAUCCAAAGUGGUAGAGAAAGAAAGAGAAGGUACCACCUAACUCAACUCAGCUUGUUUUCCCCAGGAAGACUGGAACUCUUAGCUCUCUGGAAACCGGGUAUGAAAACAGAAGAAAUAGUCAAGUGGUUUGAUUUAUGAAUAAGAUUUUACCAGAAAGAUACAGAAGAAAAACCAAAAAGCAAGAGAGUUGUCAAAGACUGUUAUAAAUUAAAUAACAGUAUGAGGUCUGUACAGUUUUGAGAAAUGAGAGAAAGAAGAACCAAGAGGGACUGAAGAUCAAAAAAAUUGAAGAACAGGUGUAAGGUGAGUAUAGAAAUAAGAGGUCUAGAAUAAUAGAAAAAGGUGGUAUAACAAUGCAGAUGUUUAGAUUUUGCAGGAGGAACAAUUCAGGUUGCAAAGGUGUAGCCCAAAGCUGACUGUGGGUCUGCGUAGGAUGAGAUGGUAGAGCUGAGAAGAUCAAUGAACCAUGAAAAAGGGUGUUGGGUGUGCUGUUACUCAUAGCAAUCCUCAUAAGCAAUAUUUAUUUAUCACUGUCUACGGGUCAGCAUUGUGGUGAGCAAAUUACGUGCAUAAUUGCACAGCCUUUUUGAAGUAAGUACUAUUAUUAUGUUUUACAUAUGAGGAAACUAAGGGUCAGAGAAAUUAUGUAACUUGCCCAUGGUGAUGCAACUGGUACUUAGCAGAACUGAAUCUCAAACCCACUUCUUUUUCAUUUCAAAGCCUGUGCUUAUUUCAAGAAAGAUGGCGGUGUUUGGGAUGAAGAGGAUGACAGGGAUUCAGAGCCCAUAGUCAUUACUGAGUAUGGAAAAGUGGUCAGGAGUUCUGUAGAUGACAGCUAUGAAGAAGAAGAAAAUGAAAAACCUGAACAUCCAAAGAGGAAGGAUUUUUGCAUGAGUGCUUAGGUUUACAAAUGGUGUUGGGAGUUAGAAUAAUGCCCUUCAGCCCCUAUCCUGGGGUAUAUGGACAGAAGAGAUUGAUCAGUCCUGUGCAGGUUUUAAAUGAGUGCUAGUAAGAAAUAAUUAUGUUGCCUCCACGGAAACCUGAGCCCAUAUUUGAAGACAGAAAUGGUAUUGGGUGGUUCUAUAAGCUUGACCUUGUAUUGCAAACAUCUGGAGUCCCCAGGUAAAUAGGGGAAUCAGGACUUAAGCCUCCCCUCUCUGGAAGGAGCCAGCUGUGGCCCAAAGGGUCACACACUUCUGAGGAGAUGGAAUGUUAUCUGUGAAAAUUAACAUAGGCUUUGUAAGGAGAAUGACUAAGGCUUUGGCUGCUAGCCAAAUCAUUCUCAUCACUGAAGACCCUUGAAGGCUUUGCUGGUCAUCUCAGUUCUCUUGAUUCCCCACCUUUUGGCUCCUACAGUCUCUGAUUUUGCCUUCUAUUAUGCUGUAUAUUUUUCAUGUUCUUCAUUGUAGUAUACAUGUCAUUGUUCAAUCCCAAAUAAAUGAUUUGUUCAUCCUAAUAAAGUGCUGAGCAUGCAGUUGAUGCUUAAUAGGCAUUUCUUUGGCUCUCUAGAAGAAGUGACAAGAGCUUUUAAUAUACCAUUUUGUUUGCUUUUAUCAUCUCUUAAUAUAUGUUUCUAUGGCUGAUACAUAGUCUUAUUUUUCUUUUGAGAACUUGAAGCCCUUUAGUCAAGGUGUGCCCUGAGAGAACUACAAGAGUCAUAACAUAAAAUCCCCAGGAAAAGUGACCGGCCUCAACUCUGUCUACCAUGCAGAAACAACUGGGAGAAAGAAUGCCAUACAGAAGGAAUGCAUAGCAUCCCAUAGGAUAGACUGAGGCUUUCAGGUAUGACCCACAGAUGAGGAGUAUUUAGAGUUCUUUUGUUUUUCUUACCAUAGAGAAAUGAUUUGCUUUACUGAAAUAGAAAUUGCAUUUUCUGAAGAGCAUGAAGAAUGAUUAGUAACUCCAUUUUCUCCAUCUCUUUCAAGUUUAUCCAUUGUAAUGGUAUAUUGUUUAAUCAAGAAAAUGCAUCUCCUUUCUAAGGAUAUAGCCAACUGGGGGCUUCCAAAAUUGUUGAUGCAUAGGUCAUAUUAAUAAGUAGGGCAUGUGUGCUUAUGAGGACUGGUGAGCUGAAGGAGAGAGAAUGUAAUAACAAAUACAUUUGCCUCAGGUUCACAUAUCCACUGCCCAGUCUCUAAAUACCAUGAAAUUUCUGACCCACAGAUAUUACUGCUAAAUUUUAUCAAAUAAAGAAAUAGGAGGAUUUGAACUCUGAGCAAAAGACCAGCUGAACAGCUAAACAGGUCAUCUUCACUAGCUUUGGAGAGUAAUGGCAGAGAAAGCUAUGUUAAUUUGCUUGCCACAGGAAGUCCUCAAUUAUCAUCAGUCAUUUGACGGAAGAAACUAGAAUCAAACACAUGAGACAGAAUCUGACUCCAUCCAAGCAACAGCUAAUCUACGAAAAAUAAUCAGUAUGACCACUUUGAUUAUCCCAAGCAGAUUUGUUUUUUGUUAUUUCUGUGUGUGGUUCUUUGUUUGUGUGUUUGUUUUGAGAUGGAGUCUCGCCCUGUCUCCCAGGCUGGAGUGCAGUGGCAUGAUCUAGGCUUACUGCAUCCUCUACCUCCCAGGCUCAAGUGAUUCUCCUGCCUCAGCCUCCCGAGUAGCUGGGAUUACAGGCGCCUGCCAGUACACCUGGCUAAUUUUUGUAUUUUUAGUAGAGACGGGGUUUCACCACAUUGGCCAGGCUGGUCUCGAACUCCUGACCUCAUGUGAUCUGCCCAGCUUGGCCUCCCAAAGUGCUGGGAUUAUAGGCAUGAGCCACCACACCUGGCCUGUUUUUAUUUGUUUAUUGGUAUGCUUGACUCACCUGAAUUAGGCUCUAGAGUUUAGUAAGUAUGAGGACCAGAAUAAAAGUGGAGUAGAGUGAGGAGGGAGUAUAGCUGGCAUUGAACUGGCAGGUUGAAGAGAUCUAAAGAGUCUGUGUUUUAUUCAAAGUUGAAUGAGA
ensembl:lncRNA